rnacentral:rRNA from 1 species
UACGUAGGGUGCGAGCGUUAUCCGGAUUCACCGGGUUUAAAGGGUGCGUAGGCGGGUUGGUAAGUCCGUGGUGAAAUCCCCAAGCUUAACUUGGGAACUGCCGUGGAUACUAUCAAUCUUGAAUAUCGUGGAGGUAAGCGGAAUAUGUCAUGUAGCGGUGAAAUGCUUAGAUAUGACAUAGAACACCAAUUGCGUAGGCAGCUUACUACACGAUCAUUGACGCUGAGGCACGAAAGCGUGGGGAGCAAACAGG